UCGACUCGGGGACGAGUAACAGGUAGAACGCGAGUUUCGGUGUUGUUACGCGCAACAAGCACUUGUUGAGAAUCCCCUCGGUUCCGAAGCGUGCGGCAGGCAAGCUAGCAAGCCUGUUGCGAACGGAUACGCGAGACACAGCCCGAGCGAGGAUGUGCGACGGAAAACUGUUGCUCACGCUCGUACGUGAGUGAUUUGUGCUGCAGCGAUGCGGCUUCUACUACCAGGCGACUACCCUGCUGGAGACGCACGGUGUUCUGUAAAAAUUUAAUAAAAUUUAAUAGAACAAUGAUUUUGUGUCUGAACCAUUAAAUCAUGAGCAUUUCUGUCUGAUUAGUUGAAAAAACGCAAAACAUUGGAAGCGAAUGCAUCUCAGUAUGGAAAACAAAGAUGAGUCCCACGGCAAAAAACUUCGAGAAAAAGAUUGCUUGAAACUAAUGUAACCGGUUGGUUCCAAAAAUAUUGCACGUGGCUCCACCACAUAGCUCAUUUGCCCCAGUGUACCGUUCUCUCCAACCUGGGCAACAGCGAGAGAGCUGAACUGAGAGCUAACUGUGUACCAAACUGAAGUUCACUCAGAGAGAAACGUCAGAAUCACAUCCAUGCACUCUUAUCUGUACUGGUAAUAAUUUGUGAACGGACUCCAAAACAUCGUCGAUGUACGUAUUCGGUUGUUCGCAGAUGAUGUUAUAAGAAAAGGGUUGCCAAGAAAAAGGGGGCAAAAGAAACGUCAGAACUCGGCCAAAGUCGGAGAUUCUAGUCUCCAAGCCAGAGUUAGGGGCUUAUAAGGCUCGACUUGGGCACGAGUCCGGUCUCUUGAUCUUCAACCACCACAAGGAAUAGAAGUGCGCGCGUGUGUUUAGUGGACUCGGAAAAGGAGUGAGAUAGCCAAAGCACAUGCGAGGGAUAGGUAUAGCAGUUAGAGGUUAGAAGUUAAAGUGAGAAAGUAAAGUUAGAAGAAAAAGUUAAAAGUCAUUUCUGAUGCAAUAGAGAGGAGAAUCACGUAGGCAUAGUGUCGAAAGACGGAGAGAUUGAAGCCAUCGGGAAAAAAGGCCCACUGUGGGCCUUUUUUCAUAGCUCUCAACAAAUACCCGGAGGGGUUGGUCUGGCCAGGACAGGUUCAACGUUUUGCACGCCUGCGUUGGCGAUCGUAAAAGGAAGAAUCACAUCGGUAGCCAGCAGAGAAAUCAAGCCGUGUCCUCAGCAUCCAUCGGCGGCAGUAACCAUCAUCAGUCGGCAACAGCGGCCCUAGUGUAUAGAGAUACCGGGGUGUUCGAGUCGGCACGGACGAGACGACCAGCAGCGGAACCGGACACCAACAUCGGCAGGAGUAAAGCGA